GGCCCCUUCGUCUAACGGCUAGGACACCAGGUUUUCAUCCUGGCAACAGGGGUUCGAUUCCCCUAGGGGUCACCA
rnacentral:tRNA from 3 species